AACGAACGCUGGCGGCAUGCCUAACACAUGCAAGUCGAACGAGACCGUCGGGUCUAGUGGCGCACGGGGGCGUAACGCGGGGGAACCUGCCCUUAGGUUCGGAAUAACUCCCCGAAAGGGGUGCUAAUACCGGAUAAUGUCUUCGGACCAACGAUUUAUCGCCUUUGGCUGGGCCCGCGUUGGAUUAGCUGGUUGGUAGGGUAAAAGCCUACCAAGGCGACGAUCCAUAGCUGGUCUGAGAGGAUGCUCAGCCACGCUGGGACUGCGACACGGCCCAGACUCCUACGGGAGGCAGCAGUGGGGAAUAUUGGACAAUGGGCGAAAGCCUGAUCCAGCAAUGCCGCGUGAGUGAUGAAGGCCUUAGGGUUGUAAAGCUCUUUUACCCGGGAUGAUAAUGACAGUACCGGGUGAAUAAGCUCCGGCUAACUCCGUG
rnacentral:rRNA from 1 species